AGAGUUUGAUCCUGGCUCAGGAUGAACGCUAGCUACAGGCUUAACACAUGCAAGUCGAGGGGCAGCAUAGAAGUUAGCUUGCUAACUUCGGAUGGCGACCGGCGGAUGGGUGAGUAACACGUAUCCAACCUGGCCUUUACAAUGGGAUAGGCUUUCGAAAGAAAGAUUAAUACUGUAUGUUCCGUGAUCUCCGCGUGGAGAUUCCGGCAAAGAUUUAUCGGUAAAGGAUGGGGAUGCGUUCCAUUAGGCAGUAGGCGGGGUAAUGGCCCACCUAACCGACGAUGGAUAGGGGUUCUGAGAGGAAGGUCCCCCACAUUGGAACUGAGACACGGUCCAAACUCCUACGGGAGGCAGCAGUGAGGAAUAUUGGUCAAUGGGCGGGAGCCUGAACCAGCCAAGUAGCGUGCAGGAAGACGGCCCUAUGGGUUGUAAACUGCUUUUGAAGGGGAAUAACAGAAUCUACGUGUAGAUUUUUGCAUGUACCUUUCGAAUAAGCACCGGCUAACUUCGUGCCAGCAGCCGCGGUAAUACGAAGGGUGCAAGCGUUACUCGGAAUUACUGGGCGUAAAGCGUGCGUAGGUGGUCGUUUAAGUCCGUUGUGAAAGCCCUGGGCUCAACCUGGGAACUGCAGUGGAUACUGGGCGACUAGAGUGUGGUAGAGGGUAGCGGAAUUCCUGGUGUAGCAGUGAAAUGCGUAGAGAUCAGGAGGAACAUCCAUGGCGAAGGCAGCUACCUGGACCAACACUGACACUGAGGCACGAAAGCGUGGGGAGCAAACAGGAUUAGAUACCCUGGUAGUCCACGCCCUAAACGAUGCGAACUGGAUGNUGGGUGCAUUU
rnacentral:rRNA from 1 species